rnacentral:rRNA from 1 species
UACGUAGGGGGCUAGCGUUGCCCGGAUUUAUUGGGCGUAAAGAGCGUGUAGGCGGCCAGGUAGGUCUGCUGUGAAAACUCGAGGCUCAACCUCGAGACGUCGGCGGAAACCAUCUGGCUAGAGUCCGGAAGAGGAGAGUGGAAUUCCAGGUGUAGCGGUGAAAUGCGUAGAUAUCUGGAGGAACACCGGUGGCGAAGGCGGCAUCCUGGACCAACACUGACACUGAGGAGCGAAAGCCAGGGGAGCAAACGGG